rnacentral:rRNA from 1 species
AAAUUGAAGAGUUUGAUCAUGGCUCAGAUUGAACGCUGGCGGCAGGCCUAACACAUGCAAGUCGAACGGUAACAGGAAGCAGCUUGCUGCUUUGCUGACGAGUGGCGGACGGGUGAGUAAUGUCUGGGAAACUGCCUGAUGGAGGGGGAUAACUACUGGAAACGGUGGCUAAUACCGCAUAACGUCGCAAGACCAAAGAGGGGGACCUUCGGGCCUCUUGCCAUCAGAUGUGCCCAGAUGGGAUUAGCUUGUUGGUGAGGUAACGGCUCACCAAGGCGACGAUCCCUAGCUGGUCUGAGAGGAUGACCAGCCACACUGGAACUGAGACACGGUCCAGACUCCUACGGGAGGCAGCAGUGGGGAAUAUUGCACAAUGGGCGCAAGCCUGAUGCAGCCAUGCCGCGUGUAUGAAGAAGGCCUUCGGGUUGUAAAGUACUUUCAGCGGGGAGGAAGGUGUUGUGGUUAAUAACCGCAGCAAUUGACGUUACCCGCAGAAGAAGCACCGGCUAACUCCGUGCCAGCAGCCGCGGUAAUACGGAGGGUGCAAGCGUUAAUCGGAAUUACUGGGCGUAAAGCGCACGCAGGCGGUCUGUCAAGUCGGAUGUGAAAUCCCCGGGCUCAACCUGGGAACUGCAUUCGAAACUGGCAGGCUUGAGUCUUGUAGAGGGGGUAGAAUUCCAGGUGUAGCGGUGAAAUGCGUAGAGAUCUGGAGGAAUACCGGUGGCGAAGGCGGCCCCCUGGACAAAGACUGACGCUCAGGUGCGAAAGCGUGGGGAGCAAACAGGAUUAGAUACCCUGGUAGUCCACGCCGUAAACGAUGUCUACUUGGAGGUUGUGCCCUUGAGGCGUGGCUUCCGGAGCUAACGCGUUAAGUAGACCGCCUGGGGAGUACGGCCGCAAGGUUAAAACUCAAAUGAAUUGACGGGGGCCCGCACAAGCGGUGGAGCAUGUGGUUUAAUUCGAUGCAACGCGAAGAACCUUACCUGGUCUUGACAUCCACAGAAGAAUCCAGAGAUGGAUUUGUGCCUUCGGGAACUGUGAGACAGGUGCUGCAUGGCUGUCGUCAGCUCGUGUUGUGAAAUGUUGGGUUAAGUCCCGCAACGAGCGCAACCCUUAUCCUUUGUUGCCAGCGGUUAGGCCGGGAACUCAAAGGAGACUGCCAGUGAUAAACUGGAGGAAGGUGGGGAUGACGUCAAGUCAUCAUGGCCCUUACGACCAGGGCUACACACGUGCUACAAUGGCGCAUACAAAGAGAAGCGACCUCGCGAGAGCAAGCGGACCUCAUAAAGUGCGUCGUAGUCCGGAUUGAGUCUGCAACUCGACUCCAUGAAGUCGGAAUCGCUAGUAAUCGUGGAUCAGAAUGCCACGGUGAAUACGUUCCCGGGCCUUGUACACACCGCCCGUCACACCAUGGGAGUGGGUUGCAAAAGAAGUAGGUAGCUUAACCUUCGGGAGGGCGCUUACCACUUUGUGAUUCAUGACUGGGGUGAAGUCGUAACAAGGUAACCGUAGGGGAACCUGCGGUUGGAUCACCUCCUUA